rnacentral:rRNA from 1 species
GCCAGACUCCUACGGGAGGCAGCAGUGAGGAAUAUUGGUCAAUGGGCGCGAGCCUGAACCAGCCAAGUCGCGUGAGGGAUGACGGCCCUACGGGUUGUAAACCUCUUUUGUCGGGGAGCAAAUUCCGUUACGUGUAACGGAGUCGAGAGUACCCGAAGAAAAAGCAUCGGCUAACUCCGUGCCAGCAGCCGCGGUAAUACGGAGGAUGCGAGCGUUAUCCGGAUUUAUUGGGUUUAAAGGGUGCGUAGGCGGAGUGUCAGGUCAGCGGUAAAAUUUCGGGGCUCAACCCCGUCGUGCCGUUGAAACUGACACCCUUGAGUGAGUGAGAAGUAAGCGGAAUGCGUGGUGUAGCGGUGAAAUGCAUAGAUAUCGCGCAGAACUCCGAUUGCGAAGGCAGCAUGCCGGCUCCACACUGACGCUGAGGCACGAAAGCGUGGGUAUCGAACAGGAUUAGAUACCCGCGUA